UAUUUACACCUUCCUUCGCCAGGGAAUUACGAGCUCAAGCUUAAAACCCAAAGGACUUGACGGUGUCCCACCCAUCUAGAGGAGCCUGUUCUAUAAUCGAUUCUCCCCGAUUCACCUCACCACUUCUAGCCUCUCAGCCUGUAUACCUCCGUCGUAAGCUUACCAUGUGAACGCACCAUAGUGAGCCCAAAGAUUUUCCAUAAAUACGUCAGGUCAAGGUGCAGCCCACGAUGUGGAAAGCAAUGGGCUACAAUUUCUACCAUAGAACAAACGAAAGACUACAUGCAAUUCGGUCAUGAAGGCGGAUUUAGUAGUAAAAAGAAAAUAGAGAGUUCUUUUUAACUAGGCACUGGGACGCGUACACACCGCCCGUCACCCUCUUCAAAUGUUACUUCUACAGUUUUUAACAACUUUUUACCCCACAGAAGAGGUAAGUCGUAACACGGUAAGCGUACUGGAAAGUGCGCUUGGAUUAACAAAGUGUAGCUUAACCAAAGCAUCUCGCUUACACCGAAAAUAUAUCUGUUAAACCCGGAUCACCUUGAACGCCUAAAACCUAGCUUUACCCCUCACAUAUAAUACUCUUUCCUUUUUUCCUAAAGUAAAACAUUUUCAAUUAUUUAGUAGAGGCGAUCAAAAAAUAUCUUAAAGCUACAAAGAUAGUACCGCAAGGGAAAGGUGAAAUAGUAAUGAAAUAAUUCUUAAGCCAAAAAAAGCAGAGAUAAAACCUCGUACCUUUUGCAUCAUGGUUUAGCUAGUCUAACCAAGCAAAACGCAUUUUUAGUUUGACCCCCCGAAACUAAGCGAGCUACUUUAAAACAGCUUUUAGAGCAAACCCGUCUCUGUUGCAAAAGAGUGGGAAGAUUUUAAAGUAGUGGUGAUAAACCUACCGAGCUUAGAGAUAGCUGGUUGUUCAGGAAAGGGAUUUAAGUCCUACCUUAAGUCUUCCCGUAACUUCUAAUACCUCUAGUAGACUUAAGAGCCAUUCAAAUAAGGUACAGCCUAUUUGAACCAGGGUACAACCUACCUCUCUGGGUAACGACUCUCUUUAUACAACCAAGUGGGCCUAAUAGCAGCCACCUUUAAAAAAGCGUUAAAGCUUUAUUUUAACCUCACAUCAAUUCCUCUAUUUUACCGAAACCCUCCACCCAUACUGAAUGACUUCAUAUUUUAUGAAGGACCAUAUGCUAAAACUAGUAACAAGAAGAAGAACUUCUCCAAAAUGCAAGCGUAAGUCAUAAUGAACAAUUCACUGACACUUAACGUUUAUAAGCCCAAAGUAGUAACCCACCGAGAAAACUCUGCUUAAAACAACGUCAACCUUACACCAGAGCAUUUAUAGAAAGAUUAAAAGAACCGGAAGGAACUCGGCAAAUUUCUAACCCCGCCUGUUUACCAAAAACAUCGCCUCCUGAUAAACCAUAGGAGGUCUAGCCUGCCCAGUGACAAAGUUAAACGGCCGCGGUACCCUAACCGUGCAAAGGUAGCGCAAUCACUUGUUCUUUAAAUGAGGACUAGUAUGAACGGCAUCACGAGGGUUAUACUGUCUCCCCCCUCUAAUCAGUGAAACUGACCUCCCCGUGAAGAAGCGGGGAUAUAAAUAUAAGACGAGAAGACCCCAUGGAGCUUUAAACUCAGUAUCACCUGCUAUAUACUACAACCUCUCAUCCAUGCAGUUUUGAUAACUAGUUUUCGGUUGGGGUGACCGCGGAGUAAAACAAAACCUCCUCGAUGAAAGGAACUAACCUCCUAAUCCAAGAGCCACAACUCUAAGAAUCAAACUAUUGACAAAAAUUGAUCCAAAUAUAAUUGAUCAACGAACCAAGUUACCCUGGGGAUAACAGCGCAAUCCAUUUCAAGAGCUCAUAUCGACAAAUGGGUUUACGACCUCGAUGUUGGAUCAGGGUAUCCCAGUGGCGCAGCCGCUACUAAAGGUUCGUUUGUUCAACGAUUAAAACCCUACGUGAUCU
rnacentral:rRNA from 1 species